AACGAACGCUGGCGGCAUGCCUAACACAUGCAAGUCGAACGACUGCCUUCGGGUGAUAGUGGCGCACGGGUGCGUAACGCGUGGGAAUCUGGCCUUAGGUUCGGAAUAACAGUUGGAAACGGCUGCUAAUACCGGAUGAUAUCGUGAGAUCAAAGAUUUAAUGCCUGAGGAUGAGCCCGCGCUGGAUUAGGUAGUUGGUGGGGUAAAGGCCUACCAAGCUGACGAUCCAUAGCUGGGAUGAGAGGAUGAUCAGCCACACUGGGACUGAGACACGGCCCAGACUCCUACGCGAGGGGGCAGUGGGGGAUAUUGGACAAUCGGCGCAAGCCUGAACCAGCAAUGCCGCGUAAGUGAUGAAGGCGCGAGAGUAGUAAAGCUCUUUUACCCGGGGAGGUAAUGACGGUACCGGGAGAAUAAGCCCCGGCUAACUCCGUG
rnacentral:rRNA from 1 species